GGGUUGUGAGGUUAAGCGACUAAGCGUACACGGUGGAUGCCCUGGCAGUCAGAGGCGAUGAAGGGCGUGCUAAUCUGCGAUAAGCGCCGGUAAGGUGAUAUGAACCGUUAUAACCGGCGAUACCCGAAUGGGGAAACCCAGUGUGUUUCGACACACUAUCAUUAACUGAAUCCAUAGGUUAAUGAGGCGAACCGGGGGAACUGAAACAUCUAAGUACCCCGAGGAAAAGAAAUCAACCGAGAUUCCCCCAGUAGCGGCGAGCGAACGGGGAGGAGCCCAGAGCCUGAAUCAGCAUAUGUGUUAGUGGAAGCGUCUGGAAAGGCGCGCGAUACAGGGUGACAGCCCCGUACACAAAAGCGCAUGUGCUGUGAGCUCGAUGAGUAGGGCGGGACACGUGGUAUCCUGUCUGAAUAUGGGGGGACCAUCCUCCAAGGCUAAAUACUCCUGACUGACCGAUAGUGAACCAGUACCGUGAGGGAAAGGCGAAAAGAACCCCGGCGAGGGGAGUGAAAAAGAACCUGAAACCGUGUACGUACAAGCAGUGGGAGCACCCUUUGGGGUGUGACUGCGUACCUUUUGUAUAAUGGGUCAGCGACUUAUAUUCUGUAGCAAGGUUAACCGAAUAGGGGAGCCGGAGGGAAACCGAGUCUUAAUUGGGCGUUAAGUUGCAGGGUAUAGACCCGAAACCCGGUGAUCUAGCCAUGGGCAGGUUGAAGGUUGGGUAACACUAACUGGAGGACCGAACCGACUAAUGUUGAAAAAUUAGCGGAUGACCUGUGGCUGGGGGUGAAAGGCCAAUCAAACCGGGAGAUAGCUGGUUCUCCCCGAAAGCUAUUUAGGUAGCGCCUCGUGAAUUCAUCUCCGGGGGUAGAGCACUGUUUCGGCUAGGGGGCCAUCCCGGCUUACCAACCCGAUGCAAACUGCGAAUACCGGAGAAUGUUAUCACGGGAGACACACGGCGGGUGCUAACGUCCGUCGUGAAGAGGGAAACAACCCAGACCGCCAGCUAAGGUCCCAAAGUCAUGGUUAAGUGGGAAACGAUGUGGGAAGGCCCAGACAGCCAGGAUGUUGGCUUAGAAGCAGCCAUCAUUUAAAGAAAGCGUAAUAGCUCACUGGUCGAGUCGGCCUGCGCGGAAGAUGUAACGGGGCUAAACCAUGCACCGAAGCUGCGGCAGCGACGCUGAUGCGUUGUUGGGUAGGGGAGCGUUCUGUAAGCCUGCGAAGGUGGCCUGUGAGGGUUGCUGGAGGUAUCAGAAGUGCGAAUGCUGACAUAAGUAACGAUAAAGCGGGUGAAAAGCCCGCUCGCCGGAAGACCAAGGGUUCCUGUCCAACGUUAAUCGGGGCAGGGUGAGUCGACCCCUAAGGCGAGGCCGAAAGGCGUAGUCGAUGGGAAACGGGUUAAUAUUCCCGUACUUGGUGUUACUGCGAAGGGGGGACGGAGAAGGCUAUGUUGGCCGGGCGACGGUUGUCCCGGUUUAAGCGUGUAGGUGUGUGUUCCAGGUAAAUCCGGUUCACUUUAACACUGAGGCGUGAUGACGAGGCACUACGGUGCUGAAGCAACAAAUGCCCUGCUUCCAGGAAAAGCCUCUAAGCAUCAGGUAACAUCAAAUCGUACCCCAAACCGACACAGGUGGUCAGGUAGAGAAUACCAAGGCGCUUGAGAGAACUCGGGUGAAGGAACUAGGCAAAAUGGUGCCGUAACUUCGGGAGAAGGCACGCUGACACGUAGGUGAAGUGAUUUACUCAUGGAGCUGAAGUCAGUCGAAGAUACCAGCUGGCUGCAACUGUUUAUUAAAAACACAGCACUGUGCAAACACGAAAGUGGACGUAUACGGUGUGACGCCUGCCCGGUGCCGGAAGGUUAAUUGAUGGGGUCAGCGCAAGCGAAGCUCCUGAUCGAAGCCCCGGUAAACGGCGGCCGUAACUAUAACGGUCCUAAGGUAGCGAAAUUCCUUGUCGGGUAAGUUCCGACCUGCACGAAUGGCGUAAUGAUGGCCAGGCUGUCUCCACCCGAGACUCAGUGAAAUUGAACUCGCUGUGAAGAUGCAGUGUACCCGCGGCAAGACGGAAAGACCCCGUGAACCUUUACUAUAGCUUGACACUGAACAUUGAGCCUUGAUGUGUAGGAUAGGUGGGAGGCUUUGAAGUGUGGACGCCAGUCUGCAUGGAGCCGGCCUUGAAAUACCACCCUUUAAUGUUUGAUGUUCUAACGUGGACCCGUGAUCCGGGUUGCGGACAGUGUCUGGUGGGUAGUUUGACUGGGGCGGUCUCCUCCUAAAGAGUAACGGAGGAGCACGAAGGUUGGCUAAUCCUGGUCGGACAUCAGGAGGUUAGUGCAAUGGCAUAAGCCAGCUUGACUGCGAGCGUGACGGCGCGAGCAGGUGCGAAAGCAGGUCAUAGUGAUCCGGUGGUUCUGAAUGGAAGGGCCAUCGCUCAACGGAUAAAAGGUACUCCGGGGAUAACAGGCUGAUACCGCCCAAGAGUUCAUAUCGACGGCGGUGUUUGGCACCUCGAUGUCGGCUCAUCACAUCCUGGGGCUGAAGUAGGUCCCAAGGGUAUGGCUGUUCGCCAUUUAAAGUGGUACGCGAGCUGGGUUUAGAACGUCGUGAGACAGUUCGGUCCCUAUCUGCCGUGGGCGCUGGAGAACUGAGGGGGGCUGCUCCUAGUACGAGAGGACCGGAGUGGACGCAUCACUGGUGUUCGGGUUGUCAUGCCAAUGGCACUGCCCGGUAGCUAAAUGCGGAAGAGAUAAGUGCUGAAAGCAUCUAAGCACGAAACUUGCCCCGAGAUGAGUUCUCCCUGAGACUUAGAGUCUCCUGAAGGAACGUUGAAGACGACGACGUUGAUAGGCCGGGUGUGUAAGCGCAGCGAUGCGUUGAGCUAACCGGUACUAAUGAACCGUGAGGCUUAACCUUACAACGCCGAAG
rnacentral:rRNA from 1 species